GCUUCGCCCUGGUGCCUUCAUUCCCAAGGGUUGUUUAUAGCAUUGUUCCUCCGAAGCCAUCCAACACUGUUAUUCUCUAGCUGCUUUUAAUCUUCAUUUGUAAUGUAGAGGGGAGUUUAUGGUUGACUUCAA